AACAGGAUUAGAUACCCUGGUAGUCCACGCCCUAAACGAUGUCUACUAGUUGUCGGGUCUUAAUUGACUUGGUAACGCAGCUAACGCGUGAAGUAGACCGCCUGGGGAGUACGGUCGCAAGAUUAAAACUCAAAGGAAUUGACGGGGACCCGCACAAGCGGUGGAUGAUGUGGAUUAAUUCGAUGCAACGCGAAAAACCUUACCUACCCUUGACAUGGUCGGAAUUCUGCUGAGAGGCGGAAGUGCUCGAAAGAGAACCGAUACACAGGUGCUGCAUGGCUGUCGUCAGCUCGUGUCGUGAGAUGUUGGGUUAAGUCCCGCAACGAGCGCAACCCUUGUCAUUAGUUGCUACGAAAGGGCACUCUAAUGAGACUGCCGGUGACAAACCGGAGGAAGGUGGGGAUGACGUCAAGUCCUCAUGGCCCUUAUGGGUAGGGCUUCACACGUCAUACAAUGGUACAUACAGAGGCCGCCAACCCGCGAGGGGGAGCUAAUCCCAGAAAGUGUAUCGUAGUCCGGAUUGUAGUCUGCAACUCGACUGCAUGAAGUUGGAAUCGCUAGUAAUCGCGGAUCAGCAUGUCGCGGUGAAUACGUUCCCGGGUCUUGUACACACCGCCCGUCACACCAUGGGAGCGGGUUUUACCAGAAGUAGGUAGCUUAACCGCAAGGAGGGCGCUUACCACGGUAGGAUUCGUGACUGGGGUGAAGUCGUAACAAGGUAACCGUA
rnacentral:rRNA from 1 species